UAUUUCUCCGUACGGGGAAGGAUGAGAAGCUGCGACUAAGGUUCGAUUCGAGCGCAGCGAGAAAGCGUUGCCGCAGGCAACGACCCGAAGGGUGAGGAGCGGAGCGACGAAUAAUCCUUCCCCCACCACCA
rnacentral:sRNA from 1 species